rnacentral:rRNA from 1 species
GACGAACGCUGGCGGCGUGCCUAAUACAUGCAAGUUGAGCGCUGAAGGUUGGUACUUGUACCAACUGGAUGAGCAGCGAACGGGUGAGUAACGCGUGGGGAAUCUGCCUUUGAGCGGGGGACAACAUUUGGAAACGAAUGCUAAUACCGCAUAAAAACUUUAAACACAAGUUUUAAGUUUGAAAGAUGCAAUUGCAUCACUCAAAGAUGAUCCCGCGUUGUAUUAGCUAGUUGGUGAGGUAAAGGCUCACCAAGGCGAUGAUACAUAGCCGACCUGAGAGGGUGAUCGGCCACAUUGGGACUGGGACACGGCCCAAACUCCUACGGGAGGCAGCAGUAGGGAAUCUUCGGCAAUGGACGGAAGGCUGACCGAGCAACGCCGCGGGAGGGAAGGAGGUUUUCGGAUCGGAAAACUCUGUUGGUAGAGAAGAACGUUGGUGAGAGUGGAAAGCUCAUCAAGUGACGGUAACUACCCAGAAAGGGACGGCUAACUACGUG